GUUUGUUUAACUAUGUUUCCUGCUCAUUAGGCACUUACUGUGAGAGGACCAUGCAGCUGAUAUUGCUUUUCGUGCUGUGCUUUGUUGCUGCUAAUGCAUCUUCUAAGUAACAACAGAUACUGGAGAAUCUUGGCUGAUUCACAAAGGAGAUGGCUUUGGCCGCACAUCUCAGACUGUAGUUACUGAUGCCAAUCACAUGUCAGAUCGAUGGAGGGUAGUGGAAGAUACACCAGUGCAUGGAAGAACAGUGGGAGAUUUUGUACGAGCUGGUGGUUCAACAUAUUCUCUAUUGAGGGACAAUUGUCAUCACGCUGCAGACAGAAUGAUGUCCUGCGAGUGAGAACAACAUGCUCCAGAAUAGUCUCAGCUGUAUUGUCAUUGGAAAGGGCCUUGUACUCAUGGUCCUGGCCAAUGACAAGACUACUGAGACUAUUCUCAGCUGUUUAUGUCUGAUAAUAAAAAUACCAAAAUCUACCAUAUAUAUUCUGGGCUAUAAAGUAUGUUAAUGCUUGAGCUGCAUUUUGUUGAUUAAUUGUUGCUCCAUUAAAAACACCAUUAAAACUACAUUAUCACACA